rnacentral:rRNA from 1 species
AAAUUGAAGAGUUUGAUCAUGGCUCAGAUUGAACGCUGGCGGCAGGCCUAACACAUGCAAGUCGAGCGGAAACGAGUUAUCAGAACCUUCGGGGGACGAUAACGGCGUCGAGCGGCGGACGGGUGAGUAAUGCCUAGGAAAUUGCCCUGAUGUGGGGGAUAACCAUUGGAAACGAUGGCUAAUACCGCAUGAUGCCUACGGGCCAAAGAGGGGGACCUUCGGGCCUCUCGCGUCAGGAUAUGCCUAGGUGGGAUUAGCUAGUUGGUGAGGUAAGGGCUCACCAAGGCGACGAUCCCUAGCUGGUCUGAGAGGAUGAUCAGCCACACUGGAACUGAGACACGGUCCAGACUCCUACGGGAGGCAGCAGUGGGGAAUAUUGCACAAUGGGCGCAAGCCUGAUGCAGCCAUGCCGCGUGUGUGAAGAAGGCCUUCGGGUUGUAAAGCACUUUCAGUCGUGAGGAAGGUGGUAGUGUUAAUAGCACUAU